rnacentral:rRNA from 1 species
UCAGGACGAACGCUGGCGGCAUGCCUUACACAUGCAAGUCGAACGAGGAUAGCAAUAUCCGAGUGGCGAACGGGUGAGUAACACAUGAGCAACCUGCCUCAAACUGGGGAAUAACACCGGGAAACUGGUGCUAAUACCGCAUAAGACCACGGCGCGGCAUCGCGCAGGGGUAAAAACGAUUUAGUGGUUUGAGAUGGGCUCAUGUCCCAUUAGCUAGUUGGUGAGAUAACAGCCCACCAAGGCGACGAUGGGUAGCCGACCUGAGAGGGUGAUCGGCCACAUUGGGACUGAGACACGGCCCAGACUCCUACGGGAGGCAGCAGUGGGGAAUAUUGGGCAAUGGGCGAAAGCCUUACCCAAGCAAUGCCGCGUGAGUGAAGAAGGUCCUCGGAUUGUAAAGCUCUUUGAUCAGGGACGAAACAAAUGACGGUACCUGAAGAACAAGCCCCGGCUAACUACGUGCCAGCAGCUGC